rnacentral:rRNA from 1 species
UACGUAGGGGGCGAGCGUUGUCCGGAAUCAUUGGGCGUAAAGCGCGUGUAGGCGGCCCGGUAAGUCCGCUGUGAAAGUCCAGGGCUCAACCCUGGGAUGCCGGUGGAUACUGUCGGGCUCGAGUCCGGAAGAGGCGAGUGGAAUUCCUGGUGUAGCGGUGAAAUGCGCAGAUAUCAGGAGGAACACCAAUGGCGAAGGCAGCUCGCUGGGACGUGACUGACGCUGAGAGCGCCGAAAGC